CGUCACUGCCUCGCGAGAGCUCGCCCCGCCAAGCCGCCCCGUGAGGCUCCGCCCCUCCUCUUUGCGCCGGUGCGGCACCAUGGGUAUCUCCAGGGACAACUGGCAUAAGCGUCGCAAGACUGGGGGCAAGAGGAAGCCUUACCACAAGAAGAGGAAGUAUGAGUUGGGGCGACCUCCUGCCAACACUAAGAUUGGCCCACGCCGAAUUCAUACAGUGAGGGUUCGUGGUGGAAAUAAGAAGUACCGUGCCCUUCGGUUGGAUGUUGGCAACUUCUCCUGGGGAUCGGAAUGCUGCACUCGCAAGACCAGAAUCAUCGAUGUCGUCUACAAUGCUUCAAACAAUGAACUGGUGCGGACAAAGACCCUGGUGAAGAAUUGCAUCGUUCUCAUUGACAGCACCCCGUACCGGCAGUGGUACGAAGCCCACUAUGCCUUGCCCCUUGGACGCAAGAAGGGCGCCAAACUGACUCCUGAAGAGGAGGAAAUCUUGAACAAGAAGCGUUCAAAGAAGAUCCAGAAAAAAUAUGAUGAGCGAAAGAAGAAUGCCAAGAUAGCAAGUAUUCUUGAGGAGCAGUUCCAGCAAGGAAAGCUGCUUGUCACACCACUUCUGGCAGGAAGAGGAAAUCUGUUGCUGGAGCUUGAACUGGUACAUGUCCCAGCCAGGCUCCUGGAGUUGAUCAUUCCUGGUUGGCCUUUGAGAAAAAUAGUGGCCCUCAAAACUUGCAAAAUGAGCAAAGACCUGUGGUCUGCACUGUGUGUCAGGAAAAUGUCCCACAAACUUGUAACAGCUUUGACCAGUUUCAAGUUCUGAGGAAUAGUUCAGUGUUCUGAAGUCUUCUGGUGAUGAGAUCUUUGUCCAGUUCUGCUACUGAACUUGAGCGAUGACAGUUUGGAGAUCUGAAGAGGACUUCAUUAGGGACUCAGUCCAGCAGAGCAGGUUCAAGAGCACGGUACCUUAGGGGGAGGUACUGAAGCCAGCACAUAAACUGCCUGCAUUGCCUCCAGACCUGGACAGUGUGGCCGAGCCGAUGGCUACGUGUUGGAAGGCAAAGAAUUAGAGUUCUACUUGAGGAAGAUCAAG